UGAAAUUUAAAAUUUAUUAGUUAGGGGAAACAUAAUAAACGCGCUGAAAAUAAUCGCAUUUUAGCACGAGGAGAGUCGCGUCAGCGAGAGUAUAAAAGCCGCCGGCUGCUUUCUCUUCCUACUGCG